GUUCACUUUGACACAUUUGCAGGAGAAAAAUAGUAAUUUAAAAACCACAUUUCUUUACUUGCAGUUGGGAACAGAUCAACAACAAACAAGCAAACUAAGAGCUCUGCUUCCAACAAGUAAAAGAGAAGGGAAAUAGGGAACUCCGCAGAGGGCUCUCUUUGGAUUCAGAGGAGGGAAGAAUCGAUUGGUUAGCGUUGGACAGACUGACAGUCUCCCCCAGCCGUGUCUACUAGAGAAAGUAUGCAAGGCUGUUAAAACUCGAACAAAAGUAGCCUUUAUGAUUAAGUGAGUUUUGGGGGUAUGCCAUAGCAAGUUGUGAAGAAGAGUUUUCCUGACAAAGAGAAACCUGGCUAAAAUUAUUUUGUAUAGUCAUAUAAUUUGGCAGGGGAAAAAAAGAGUAUGAAUCCAGAUGUUAAGCAAGACUCACAUCCCAGUCUUGAAUCUAUUUACAGUUCUUCACCUGGUUUUUGCUCUGUCUGAGGAAAGAACACUACAAAGUACGUUGCUGACCACCAUGACCGUGCAGCCCUCAGGGCCCUAGUUCAGUGAUCAGAGAUAAUUAUCCACUUGUGGUUCCUGUCUGAGAAUCAAAAUGGAUUUCGUCUCAUGAGUUGACUUCAUUGCUCGCUGUCCUCAACAUUUUUCUCCUUCACCUAGACUUCACUUCCAUAAAAUCUGUUCACCCACAGAUAAAGGCAAUAAUAUGUUUGCGUCCAUCAAAUACCAGGCCUAUAUU
rnacentral:lncRNA from 1 species